CGGGAAGCCAGGCGGCGACGCCGAGCGGAACCCGAAAAGCCGUCUCAGUUCGGAUUGGAGUCUGCAACCCGACUCCAUGAAGCUGGAUUCGCUAGUAAUCGCGCAUCAGCCACGGCGCGGUGAAUACGUUCCCGGGCCUUGUACACACCGCCCGUCAAGCCAUGGGAGCCGGGAGUGCCUGAAGUACGUGACCGCAAGGAGCGUCCUAGGGUAAGACCGGUGACUGGGGCUAAGUCGUAACAAGGUAGC
rnacentral:rRNA from 1 species